rnacentral:rRNA from 1 species
CAGCCGUAAACUAUGCGCGUUAGGUGUAUCGGUGACCACGAGUUACCGAGGUGCCGAAGGGAAACCGUGAAACGUGCCGCCUGGGAAGUACGGUCGCAAGGCUGAAACUUAAAGGAAUUGGCGGGGGAGGCACCACAACAGGUGGAGCCUGCGGUUUAAUUGGACUCAACGCCGGGAAGCUCACCGGAUAAGACAGCGGAAUGAUUGCCGGGCUGAAGACUCUGCAUGACUAGCUGAGAGGAGGUGCAUGGCGUAGACGUCU